AGAGUUUGAUCCUGGCUCAGGACGAACGCUGGCGGUGUGCUUCACACAUGCAAGUCGAACGGGGUAGCAAUACCCAGUGGCGGACGGGUGAGUAACACGUAGGAAUCUGCCUCUAGAUGGGGGAUAACUGGCCGAAAGGCUAGCUAAUACCGCAUAUGAGUGUAUCCCGACAGGGGUACCCUUGAAAGGAGUAAUCCGUCUGGAGAUGAGCCUGCGUCCGAUUAGCUAGUUGGUAGGGUAAUGGCCUACCAAGGCGACGAUCGGUAGCUGGUCUGAGAGGACGAUCAGCCACAAUGGGACUGAGACACGGCCCAUACUCCUACGGGAGGCAGCAGUGGGGAAUUUUGUGCAAUGGGCGAAAGCCUGACACAGCGACACCGCGUGAGCGAAGAAGCCCUUUGGGGUGUAAAGCUCUGUCAGCAGGGACGAAAAAAAUGACGGUACCUGCAGAGGAAGCAUCGGCUAACUACGUGCCAGCAGCCGCGGUAAGACGUAGGAUGCGAGCGUUGUCCGGAUUUAUUGGGCGUAAAGAGUUCGUAGGCGGUUCGUUAAGUUCGAUGUUAAAGACCGGGGCCUAACCCCGGGACUGCAUUGAAUACUGGCGGACUGGAGUGCAGUAGAGGCGAGUGGAAUUCCCAGUGUAGCGGUGAAAUGCGUAGAUAUUGGGAAGAACACCAGUGGCGUAAGCGACUCGCUGGGCUGUAACUGACGCUGAGGAACGAAAGCCAGGGUAGCGAAUGGGAUUAGAUACCCCAGUAGUCC
rnacentral:rRNA from 1 species